rnacentral:rRNA from 1 species
AACGAACGCUGGCGGCAGGCCUAACACAUGCAAGUCGAGCGAGGACUUCGGUCCUAGCGGUGGACGGGCGAGUAACGCGGGGGAACGUGCCCUUUGCUUCGGAAUAGCUCGGGGAAACUGGGAGUAAUACCGGUUGAGCCCUUUGGGGGAAAGGUUUAUCGGGGAAGGAUCGGCCCGCGUUGGUUUAGGUAGUUGGUGGGGUAAGGGCCUACCAAGCCGACGAGCCAUAGCUGGUUCGAGAGGAUGAUCAGCCACACUGGGCCUGAGCCACGGCCCGGACUCCUUCGGGAGGCAGCGGUAGGGGAUCUUAGACAAUGCCGGAAACCCUGCUCUAGCCAUGCCGCGUGAGGGAUGAAGGCCUUAGGGUUGUAACGCUCUUUCGGCUGGGAAGGUGAUGACGGUACCAGCAGAAGAAGCCCCGGCUAACUCCGUG